CCUACGGGAGGCAGCAGUGGGGGAUAUUGCACAAUGGGGGCAACCCUGAUGCAGCGACGCCGCGUGAGCGAUGGAGUACCUCGGUAUGUAAAGCUCUGUUAGCAGGGAAGAGAAUGACGGUACCUGACCAAGAAGCACCGGCUAAAUAGGUGCCAGCAGCCGCGGGAAUACGUAGGGGGCCAGCGUUAUCCGGAAUUACUGGGUGUAAAGGGAGCGUAGACGGUGAUGCAAGUCUGGAGUGAAAGGCGGGGGCCCAACCCCCGGACUGCUCUGGAAACUGUGUAACUUGAGUGCAGGAGAGGUAAGCGGAAUUCCUAGUGUAGCGGUGAAAUGCGUAGAUAUUGGGAGGAACACCAGUGGCGAAGGCAGCUUACUGGACUGUAACUGACGUUGAGGCACGAAAGCGUGGGGAGCGAACAGGAUUAGAUACCCCUGUAGUC
rnacentral:rRNA from 1 species